AACACACUGAUUAUAAAAACAACACACACUGAUUAAAAAAUACACAUUACAACACACACUGAUUAUAAAAACACACAACAUCACAACACACACUGAUUAUAAAAACACACAACACACUGAUUAUAACAACACACAACAUCACAACACACACUGAUUAUAAAAAGGUUCAGAGAAGGUUGAUGGUUUGAUCCGGAGUGAAGUAACCGGGAAGCAUGAUGGCGGCGAGAGCAGGGAAGCAGCAGCAGCACCGUGUGGGGAGGAAAAGCAGCUCUGGGGAGCAGGAUGAGGAGGAACAGCCGCUCCAGGCCGUGCUGAUUGCUGACAGCUUCAAUCGGAGAUUCUUCCCCAUCGCUAAAGACCAGCCGAAGUCUGCGUCUCUGUGAUCUGACAGAGGAAAGCUGUAGAGUUCUGUCCUCAGUUCUCAGCUCAAACUCCUCCAGUCUGAGAGAACUGAACCUGAGGGGCAAUAAACUGCAGGAUUCAGGAGUGAAGCUGCUCUCUGAUGGGCUGAAGGAUCCACACUGUACACUGGAGAUACUGAGGUAUACUGAGAAUUAUGAUUGGAUGAAGGGGUGGAGUUUAGAGCUGCAGAUCGGUGUGAGAGUUUAGUUAACGAUGUGACUGGGAGGAAUUCAUGGACCAGUUGGGACUUACCUCGGACGGGCUUUGGAGUAUCGUUGCUAUGGCGAUAAAGGAUCGGUUCGGUAGAGGAGGGACUACAGAAAGAUCUACAGCUUCAGAGGAGGGAAUUUGGUGUUCCAGCCGCCUGGGAAGCCGUUCAGGUGAUUUGUUUAUUUUAUUAUUUUAUUUUAAUA